CCUACGGGAGGCAGCAGUGGGGAAUAUUGCACAAUGGGGGAAACCCUGAUGCAGCGACGCCGCGUGAGUGAAGAAGUAAUUCGUUACGUAAAGCUCUAUCAGCAGGGAAGAAAUACUGACCUUACGGUCAGCAGACGGUACCUGAGUAAGAAGCCCCGGCUAACUACGUGCCAGCAGCCGCGGUAAUACGUAGGGGGCAAGCGUUAUCCGGAUUUACUGGGUGUAAAGGGAGCGUAGACGGUGCGCCAAGUCUGGAGUGAAAUCCCGGGGCUUAACCCCGGAACUGCUUUGGAAACUGUGCGGCUGGAGUGCAGGAGGGGUAAGCGGAAUUCCUAGUGUAGCGGGGAAAUGCGUAGAUAUUAGGAGGAACACCGGUGGCGAAGGCGGCUUACUGGACUGUAACUGACGUUGAGGCUCGAAAGCGUGGGGAGCAAACAGGAUUCGAUACCCUUGUAGUC
rnacentral:rRNA from 1 species